UGCAAUAGCUGUUUAUGUAUAUUAUGUAUAUGAAAUGGGUUUCAUAUGUUACAGAUACUGUCCCUGCUUGUCAUUUGCCUACUGGUUGUGUUUCCUGUGCCAGUUCUGCCUGAGAAUCACAGGACAGCCUUGCAGAACCCCCAGCAUGGUACCCAAAUGUUGGCUUUUUUCUUCCUUCACUCCCUCAUAGAGUUCACUUUCAAAUGGGCGAGACAGAUGAUUCAGAUGAAGGCAGAAAAAAAAUCCAAAGAAGAAUGAGUUCCAUGUUGACCAGAAGUGCUAAAAAGAAGAGACUUUGCCCUCACGAAAUAUCACACAACAGCAAGUAUCAUCUCCAGGCAGAGAGAGAGUGCUCCAAGGAAUUUUGCAAACAUACAUGGUCUCUCUGGGAAGGAAUAUGGAGCUCAGAAAAACUGCUAUAGUUUAUUACUUCCAUUUGUUUUCAAGAGAAGGGUAGUGGGGGUCUUUCCACACUGCUUUGGUCGGGUGUCCAGGCAAACAGAAGCUGAGAUGGAGAUCUGUGUGUAGCAGGGUGACUGGCUACUGCUCUUAAGAGUAAUGCCUGCAGGAGAGUAAGUGGAGCAAGACUGUGCAGGCAAGUUAAACUGCAGGGCAGCCACAACAAAGCUGUCGGCCUCCCCAGAGGGACUCUGGAGCCUUUCACACUUGUCUCAAAUUGGGGUAAGGGGGCCUUUCCACACAUGGACCAGAUGUUGGAUGCCCACUGCCCGUGAAGGCGCCAUGACCUGGCAUGAGGCAGCUCGCCUUGACAGAGAACAGCUCCUGGGUAGGGAUUUGGCUUAGAGACAAGCAGGGGACCCUCUGGGCAGCUGAAGAACUAGUCUCUCAAUCCUGAAGGGAACAGAUAGAGCAUGUCAACACCUGCCACAUUCACCAGUACUUACAGAUCUGACAUGGCAGAAUUCCUGUGUGGUAAUUUUUGGAGUAAGUAGAUUACCAAAACAGAAUACUCUGUUCUGGUAGCUGCCUGUUGUCAGUAGCGGGCCAGGUGAUGAACAUGGUGUCCAGUCUGACUGAGGUGUCACUGUUAUAAUAGAAAAUACAGUAUGAACAUUUUCAUACAUACCAGUGCGUACAAUAAACCCUUAUAUUACCGGUACCCAGAUUCAACAAUUAUCAAGAUAUUACCACAUUUCCUUUAUUCCUUUUUUCUUUUUUUUUUUGUUGAAGUAUUUAAAAAAUAAUCCCAUCUAAGAUACAGCAUGGUGACUAUAACUAAUCAGACUGUACUAUAUACUUGAAAGUUGUAAGAGAGUAGAUCUGAAAAGCCAUCACCACAAAAACAGUGUAAUUAUAUGAGGGGAUGGAGGUGUUAAUUAACUGGAUUGUGAUGAUCAUUUGCAAUACAUACAUGUACCAAAUCAUCACAUUGUACACCUUAAGCUUACAUUUCUUGUGUGGCAAUAGUAGCUCAAUAAAGCUAGAAAUUAAAAAGUAAAGAUAACAAUGAUCACAGGCAUUACCCUGAGCACUAGUAUGCAAGUCUAAAUCAAAAGAGACAUGUUCUCACAUAACCACCAUGCCACUACUACACCUCAUACAAAAACUGACAAAAAUUCUUUAGUAUCACACAAUAUCCACUUGGUAAUCAAGAUUCUCUGAGUGUUUCUAAAAACACCAUGAGUUUGUUUGAAUCGGGAUCCCAACAGAGUCCCUACACCCCAUUUGGUUGGCCUUUUCUUAAGUCCCUCUUAAUCUCACUCAGCCCCUUCCUUCCUGGCUUGUUUUAUGCCAGUCAGUAGUCUUCUAAAAUGCCAUGCAUGCUUCUGGUGUCGAUUAACUUGUCCUUUCCCCCCACACUCAUGUUUUCUCUUGUUAACUUUAAAGAUACAAUUAGAUUCUGCCUCACCUCUUUUUGGCAAGAGUCUGUAAGAGGCGGGUCUGUGUGCUAUAUAUACUGUGUCACACCUGGAGGUGCAGAAUGCCCAAAUGACCUGCUUUCGGUGACACCAAGGGAUCACUCUGUCGCUGGUCCUCACGUCAGCCUGAGCACUCCCUGCACAAAGUUCCCGGCAACCUUUCCUCUCGCAAAGCCAUCCAUUGACUACCACUGUCUGAAUCAGCCCAGGCAUUUAAAAUCCACUAACAAAGCUUUUCAUAUCCAAGUAACCUUUUCUCUCAUUGUCUUGAUCCCCUUUCAAUGGUACAAAGUUCUCUUGAACCUUGUUAAGUUGCUGAAAACAUGUUUUUUAAAAAUGUAUUUGUAUUUGGCUGUUUUUCAUUUGUCAUGUAUUUUCUUUAA